UACGGAGGGAGCUAGCGUUGUUCGGAAUUACUGGGCGUAAAGCGCGUGUAGGCGGGUCGGCAAGUCAGGCGUGAAAUCCCCAGGCUCAACCUGGGAACUGCGCUUGAAACUGCCGGUCUUGAGUAUCGGAGAGGGUGGCGGAAUUCCUGGUGUAGAGGUGAAAUUCGUAGAUAUCAGGAGGAACACCGGUGGCGAAGGCGGCCACCUGGACGAUUACUGACGCUGAGACGCGAAAGCGUGGGGAGCAAACAGG
rnacentral:rRNA from 1 species